rnacentral:rRNA from 1 species
AUGCCGCAGACGCCAUCGACCCGUUGGUGCCCGACGCCUGAGCAGCUGAUGAUCCUGGAGGAGAUGUACCGGAGCGGCGUGCGCACACCUAACGCGGCGGAGAUCCAGCAGAUCACGGCGCACCUCGCCUACUACGGCCGCAUCGAGGGAAAGAACGUCUUCUACUGGUUCCAGAACCACAAGGCCCGCGAGCGCCAGCGUCUCCGUCGCCGCCUCUGCGCCCGCCACCAGCAACCCUCCUCGCCGGCGGCUCCUCCUCCUCCUCCUCCUCAUACUGGUGCUGCCGGCGGCGGAGGCAAUGCUGCUGGUGCUGGUGCGGGCGUGAACGCGAUUCACCCCGCGGUGAUGCAGCUGCACCAUCACCACCACACAUACGCAACCAGCUGCUUCAUGGCGCCUCAGGGCUACUUGCAGCAGGAAACAGCAGCAGGAGGAGCUCUUCCAGUUUCGGGGUUGGAGUUUGCAGGCAAGACAAGCCAGCAGCAGGAAUGGAUGACACAGCAGCAGAUGGUGAUGGAGAACAGCAACUUUAACAACAGUGUAGCAGCAGCUGGAGGCAGCUCCGCAGCGGCCGGCGGUGGUAUGAAUAAUAUGACCCCGCCGCCAUGGCCAUGCUGCCGGCCGCUCAGAACCCUAGAGCUCUUCCCUACAAAGAGCACCGGUGGCGGCCUCAGGGACGAGUGCAGCAGCUCCAAGUCCUCCUCUUGCUCCACCUCCACAAACUAG